ACAGCUGAAGGAGGCAUCACAAUUUCGAUUUUACAGUGCAUUAUUAUUUGUAUGUUACGAAACAAUGGCAUCAAAACUGCCGAUAGUGAAAGCAAAAGCCGUUGAAGCUUCAAAGUUCUUGACCAAGAAUGGAUGUGCAUACUACAAGCAGAUGUUGGAGCAGAACAAACAAUACAUUCAAGAGCCACCUACUGUGGAGAAAUGCCAGCAAUUGGCGAAACAAGUGUUCUAUACUCGCUUAGCUAGUAUUCCUGGACGUUAUCAAGCAUUCUGGAAGGAACUUGGUGAUGUCAAGAACUUGUGGAAGCACAGACAGGAGCUGAAAAUUGAGGAUGCUGGCAUUGCUGCUCUUUUUGGGCUAGAAUGUUUUGCUUGGUUUUGUGCUGGGGAGAUUGUAGGUCGAGGGUUCACGAUUACUGGUUAUUAUGUCUAAAUCUCUUAAAUAUUAGGUUUCAAAGGAAUGAAUUGUAUCACUGUCGAUAAAAGAUCAUCCAUCUUCAAUCUCUAACUUGUGUGGGAUAACACAUACCAACGAGAUACGGAUUUUCAAAUUUUGAUGUUUGGCAAGUAGAGGAUGAGUUAGGAGCCUUG
rnacentral:misc_RNA from 1 species